UCCGGAUUUACUGGGUGUAAAGGGAGCGUAGACGGCAGCACAAGUCUGGAGUGAAAUGCCGGGGCUUAACCCCGGAACUGCUCUGGAAACUGCCUGGCUGGAGUACAGGAGAGGUAAGUGGAAUUCCUAGUGUAGCGGUGAAAUGCGUAGAUAUUAGGAGGAACACCAGUGGCGAAGGCGGCUUACUGGACUGUAACUGACGUUGAGGCUCGAAAGCGUGGGGAGCAAACAG
rnacentral:rRNA from 1 species